rnacentral:RNase_P_RNA from 1 species
GUCGCUUGGGUUUUCUCAAGAGGAAAGUCCGGACACCGUAGGGCAGUAGUGCUAGAUAACGUCUAGUGGGAGUGAUCCUAAGGAAAGUGCAACAGAAAAUAACCGCUUAUAAUUUAUUAUAAGUAAGGGUGAAAACGUAAGGUAAGAGCUUACGAACAACUAUGGAGACAUAGCUGUGGUGUAAACCCCACUUGGUGCAACGCCAGAAGAGAAAGGUUAAGACGGCCCGUCGUCUUUCGUGGUUGGCGGCUUGAAGUAUAUAGCAAUAUAUACUCUAGAUAAAUGACUAUAUUUAAAACAGAAUCCGGCUUACGA